GCCAGGGCCUGAGAAGGAGGCCUGGGACCUACAAGGAACAGACUGUGAACUGCCCUGACAUGCCAGAGACACUGUUUGUAAUGUCCCCUGCCACAAAGCGGAUUGACUGUUAAAGUUUGAGGCCCUUUCAGCUUAAAAGUAUGAACCCACAGCAGAACUGAGUUUCAUCUACCUAUGCAACUAAUGGUGCUCUUUUUUACAACCAUAAAGAUUCAUUUGCCGACAGCAAUCAUUUCUCACCAGGCAGAAACCUUUGUAGGCAUCUUGGCUUCAUCUCUUGCAGUGUCUUGGAGCCACCUCAGCUAAAGACAGGC